GAGGGUACAGCUCAGUGGUAGAGUGCAUGCCUAGCAUGCAUGAGGUCCUGGUUUUAAUUCCCAGUACUUACA
rnacentral:tRNA from 1 species